ACACAGAGAGAGACGGAGGUGCACGAGACCAUCGCUGAUUUUCACCGCCAAGCUUGUUGCUGGAAAAUAACUAUUAAUUUGAUAAAUUGAGCAAAUAUCCAUACCGGAGAUCUGCAUGGACCUUGGAGAAACGGACCUGAUUUGUUGUGAACAUUUUGGACUUUGAAACCAUCUCAGUGAGUCGGAGGCUGUUAAGCUAACCUUGAAGCUAAAAAGCUAACAUGAAGUUAACGGAGAAUAUAAUGGCCCAAUUUCAACGUUGUAGAUCUGCACGGGUGCGGAUGAAGCGGACAAGAUCCUCUCUGAGAGUUGAACAUUAGAAGUGUGCUGGCUAGGUUUUUUCGUGGGAUCGUGAGACCUGGAUUUCUUCCUGACGAGGAAGAUGCCGAGCCUUUCCCUUUGAACCGAACCACAGCCAUUCCGAGUUGGCCCAGAAGGGCAGGUUGCUCUUCUUUCACGAACAAUUGCAACAGUGCGGUAGGACGAAAUCGCACCAGUCACAGACUUUUGACCUAUUGGAUUUGACUUGACUGAAUACUCACUAUUAAGCCGGCAAGACUGACAUAUCUGAGCUCAGAUAGGAUUCUGAUUGUUAUUAUUAAUGCUGUCACUGUACUUUAUUUUAUGUUUUCAUUCCUGUUUAUGAAGUGCUGUUAAAUUGUUUCUAAAUAGUUUAAUACAAUUCAAAGCAACUUUACCUGUGGCUCCACUCAUUCUUCUCCACGCAACUCACUUUAUCCCUCCUACGAAUCUAGCUAUUGGCCCAUUCUCUCCAUCUUGCUUUAACUUCCCCUACCCUAUCCUGUACUUGGCUACAUUGUCAUGUCAUGAUUGUCACACAUCUAAAAUAGC
ensembl:lncRNA